rnacentral:rRNA from 1 species
CACAGAGUUAGCCGAUGCUUAUUCCUCAGAUACCGUCAUUGUUUCUUCUCCGAGAAAAGAAGUUGACGACCCGUAGGCCUUCCACCUCCACGCGGCAUUGCUCCGUCAGGCUUUCGCCCAUUGCGGAAAAUUCCCCACUGCUGCCUCCCGUAGGAGUCUGGGCCGUAUCUCAGUCCCAAUGUGGCCGGUCACCCUCUCAGGCCGGCUACCCGUCAAAGCCUUGGUAAGCCACUACCCCACCAACAAGCUGAUAAGCCGCGAGUCCAUCCCCAACCGCCGAAACUUUCCAACCCCCACCAUGCAGCAGGAGCUCCUAUCCGGUAUUAGCCCCAGUUUCCUGAAGUUAUCCCAAAGUCAAGGGCAGGUUACUCACGUGUUACUCACCCGUUCGCCACUCGAGCACCCCACAAAAGCAGGGCCUUUCCGUUCGACUUGCAUGUGUUAAGCACGCCGCCAGCGUCUCCUGAGCCAGGAGCAAACGUACU